CCCAAAAUGGUUAAUAUUUAUGCAUACGUCACUAUUCAUGUGAAUAGUACUGUUCAUCAAGUCAUGAAUACAUAUCUAUUCAUGUGUACAGUACAUCUGCCAGUACAGUUAUCAUUCAUGUGUACGGCACUUUUAACCAAUACGGUACUGUUACAUCAUUAAGGAACUCUAGGUCCUUAUUUACAUGUCAAGGAUCAAGGAUCUUCAAGUCCGAUCUCUUGUUUACAAGUAUAGUACCGGAGAGACUGCCAGCUCUCAUAUCAAUAUCAUCAUCAAGGAUCUUCAAGUCCUGAUGUAAUUGUAUGAUGAGGAUCAAGGAACUUCUGGUCCUGAUCUGUAUACUGUAAAAACUCAUCAUACAGCACAAUUAAUCCAUAAAAUAAAUUUAUUAAAUAAAUUACUUGUAUGGACGUUAAUCCCGCACCAUACUUUAAAUGUGCGGUAAAGUAAAUUCAUAAAUUAAAUUGCUGUAUGGACGUUAAUCCCGCACCAUACUUUAAAUGUGCGGUAAAGUAAACGUGCUUGUAUGGGCACUAAUUCUGCUCCAUACAUUUAAAUGACAGUAAAGGCGUGGACGAUAAACCCGCACCACCCUUUAAAGUAAAUUUACGAUAAAGUAAAUGUGCUUGUAUGGGUAAUAAACCUACACCAUACAGUAAAUAAAAUAAUUGCGGAAUGAAUAAAGUAAAGACAAUUAUUUGUGAGUUCAUAUCAACACCACAAUCAAAUAGUAUGGUAUUAUAUUAAAUCAUUUUAUAAAGUAGAAGUCAUAUUUACCCCGACCGAAGUGCACGUUAAGAUUCCAAAACCAAGAGACCAAGUGGGUGGCUGUCAAUCAGUAAAAUAAUUUUUGUUUAUCCGACAGACAGGCCAGCUAAUUUUUGUUUGCACUUGUCAUUUUGGAAAGCAAACUCACGGCCCACUUGCAAGUUGCAAGUUCAUGCUAUUAUUGUUGUUGUUUUGGGAUGAACACUGAUCAUCAUCAUUAUCAUCAUCUUUAGUUCCAGAGGAGGCCAAAGUGGUUGUCUUCGAGGAUCCACCUCAGCGACCCGGAGCGCGAUCUCCAUGGCCUUCAUAGUCGAUCCCAUAAGAAGGCUAACCUUGAUCAUAGACUGAGCAAAAUCCUCAAAAACUUUUUUUUUUUUUUUUUCGUUCGACGCGUAGAGAUCCACAAGUGGCUUUGUCCUCUCGUCCGCCAUCAGAGCCAGGUCCGUGCUCAACAAGCCCAGCCCUCUCUGCAAGGUUCGUGACGGAGCUGUUGGGCCAAGGCCAAAAGUCUCUGUGACCCUACACAAGAAUUGGUCGGCUCCAUGAGUAGUGGAGGCGAUGUUGAUAGCCUUCUCAGGAGUGAGAUCAUGGGCUGUAGCUCCCAAAGUUUAUUGCGUCGAUCUUCAUCAAAUUCUUGCAUAUUAUUCAACCGUGCAUGGCCAAAGCUUUGAGCUGCUCGAGAUCGCCAGCGGCUACAUGAUCUAGUUUGUUGGUUUGGAGGGGAAGAAAAACUGGUUUGUUGGCGGCCUGUGGAGCGGUGCGAGAGUAAAAGAAAUCAGUGGGGAAAGUAUUGAAGACCCGCCAUGAAAAGUAGGCAGCAGAAAAGAGUGUGUUUAAUAACUACUGAGAGAUGUUGGUUUGGUGGACUUUGGCAGAGAGACUAUCACAUGCUCUCUGUGAAAGAAACAGAGCUUAUGUUUUUCUUUGUGUUUGUUUGGUUGGGUCCAAGGUCCUUGCUUUUUCUAUUGCUGGAAAUUUGAGAAAGAAAGGUAUUGAAGCAGAUGGAAUUCAUCCGAGAAUUCAACUGGUAUUUUUUUUAAAAGCGAAUUCGUGCUGAUAACGUGUUAUAAAUCUAGAGAAAUUGGAGAGAGAGAAUUAGGAAACUGAAGGGAGAGAAUUGAAAUAUGAAA
rnacentral:lncRNA from 1 species